rnacentral:lncRNA from 1 species
AAAUAACAUUUCUAGUUGGAAAAGAAAAUGUAUGUUUUCUUUCUUAAAUGGUUAAAACUAAAAUACGAUAUUAUCAAAUUCUACUAGACAUAAAACUGGAAGAUUAUGAAAGGGUAGAAAUAUAUAUACUCCUCUUCUUCCUAGCAUGAUCGCCAUUUUACCGCUGAACAGCGCACCGACAGCAGCUCCCAACGUGGAGAAUGAGCCAAAUGCUGAAAACUGAAGAAUUCCAGGUUAAUCCAAAGAUAAAUCGCAAAAGUUGAUGAGUAGGUUUGUUUAAGUGGGAUACUAGUUACUAAAAUUAGAAAACUAACACAUGUUAAGUAUUCAUAUCAAUUAUUAUACUUUAAAUAACUGAAAGUUAAAAACAUGAAAGAGAAAGAAAUGAUUGUUUGAAUGGUAAAAACCAAAAAUGGAAUGAUUUGAUGUUUUACAAAUAUUUUUUUGUUCGUGAAUGUCAAUGUUUUUUUGAAAGCAAUGUCGAUGUUCCUAUAUGUAAUAAUAAGAAGUAAAGGCAUUUGCAUUUCAGUAUAUUUUAAACGUCUAGUACUGUAGAGGAUAGAGUAUAUAUAUUAUUUUGAAUGAUUUCGAUAAGUCCACAUAUACGGUACCUUAUAUAUAUUAAUAUUAUACAAGAAAAUCAAAUUUAUUAUUUUUCGUUGGGUUGUCAUAUAUAUUACGAUUAAAAAUUAUCUUUUAAAUUUGUUUAAAAAAAAAUUAUCUUUUAAAUUUAAAAGUGAACCACACGUAAUAAACUUCACUAUUUGGGAUAACGACGUUAUAUCAUUUUCUUCAUUUGAAUUGAAGGUUAACUAUUUCAGUUAGAAUGAAAAGAAGUAAAUAAUACGGAGUUAAAAUUAAAAAAAAUAAAAUAAGACAUGUUAACCUGAUGCAGUUGUACUUAUCUAUGUAAGAAUCUAGUAUGAAUAUGUCACUCUCAGUGACUCAGUCUCUGCUAAUCAGUACUUUAUGAUUAAUUUAAUCUUAAUAUUCGCUUAUCAAAAUAGAAUAACAGAUAGGCAUACUUCUGCAAUAGAAAGGCCCAUGUCUUGCAUAAUUCCUAUCUCAGCACCUGAAGUAUAACCAACCUGCAAAAACCAUUAAAAAAAACAAUUAAACAAAUAGACAUAAAGGACAGUUACAAAAAAAAUAGACGUAAAGGAUAUAUAGAUAGGAUCAUGGCACGUAAAUGACGUCACCAAUACAUAUAUACACACUAGUUUUAGUUUCUACUAGUAAGAUAAUUAGCCCAAUUUCUAAAGGCCACGAGUUCGAUCGUUAUAGGGGGAGCUUUUAAGUAACUUUUCAUUAUAAUUUUAGUUCCACAAACAGUGUUACUCUUUCAGUUUUGUAUAAGCAUAGUAUUUACUGAUUGUAAUAUAUAAAUUUGUAAAAGAAAAGAGCAAGCAAAGUAAGAUGAUAACUUACCGCAACACCAAAGGAAAAGGAGCCGCAUACGGCGACAAAAGUGCUGAGGAUAACACAGGCAGUAAUACGACAGUGUGAAGUGUCGUUUUGGUUCUUCAGCUUGAGAAGCCCUUC